GUUUCGCCGCUGGAUAUCGGCAAAGUGAGCCAUGGCCGUGUAGGAACGCCUGAAAUGGCCACACACCUUCCUGGCCUGCUUCAGGACGUCCUGUAAGCCUGUGUACUUAUGCACAAAGCGUUGUACGAUCAGAUUACACACAUGUGCCAUGCACGGCACAUGUGUCAACUUGCCCAACUUCAAUGCCGCUAACAAAUUUGUUCCGUUGUCACAAACCACUUUGCCGAUAUCCAGUCGCUGCGGAGUCAGCCAUUUUUCCACCUGUGCGUUCAUGGCGGACAGGAGUGCUUGUCCGGUGUGACUCUCUGCUUUCAAGCAAGUCAAACCCAAGACGGCGUGACACUGCCGUAUCCGGGAUGUGGAAUAGUACCUGGGGAGCUGGGGGGGUGCCGUUGAUGUGGAGC